rnacentral:lncRNA from 1 species
AAUACUUUAUUUCUUUAAAGGAAUGAUUUGGUUACAAAGCCGUAUUACAAAGGUGGAGCUCACAUUUUUUCUAAAGAGGAAUGAUAUCCUAUGCCAAUUCAAGCACCCACCAAGAAACCCAAUCGUGCUAUCAUCAAGCCACUCAUGAGUGUAUAUUACUAUUAGCAAGUCAAUAAUGGAAAAGGAAAUGGGUGGUAGUGACAAAAUGAUGCUUCCAGUCACCAUCUAAAAGGAAAUGGGUGCACUAGUCACCAUCUAAAA